rnacentral:rRNA from 1 species
GCUCCGGCGCUUCGGGAGAGGACUGCGGCCCAUCAGCUAGUUGGUAGGGUAACGGCCUACCAACGCAGAGACGGGUAGGGGGCGUGAGAGCGCGGACCCCCACACUGGCACUGAGAUACGGGCCAGACUCCUACGGGAGGCAGCAGUAAGGGAUAUUGCGCAAUGGACGAAAGUCAGACGCAGCGACGCCGCGUGGGCGAUGAAGGCCUUCGGGUUGUAAAGCCCUUUUAUGGGGGAAGAGAAAAAGGACGGUACCCCAGGAAUAAGUCCCGGCUAACUACGUGCCAGCAGCCGCGGUAAAACGUAGGGGACAAGCGUUAUCCGGAUUCACUGGGCGUAAAGAGCGUUGAGGCGGUUCCGUAAGUUGGGCGUGAAAGCUCCGGGCUUAACUCGGAGAUGUCGUUCAAUACUGCGGGGCUUGAGGACAGCAGAGGAAGGUGGAAUUCCCGGUGUAGUGGUGAAAUGCGUAGAUAUCGGGAGGAACACCCGUGGCGAAGGCGGCCUUCUGGGCUGUUCCUGACGCUGAAGUCGAAAGCUAGGGGAGCGAACGGGAUUAGAUACCCCGGUAGUCCUAGCUGUAAACGAUGGAUGCUGGGUGUGGGGGGUGUAAAUUCCCUCUGUGCCGAAGCCAACGCGUUAAGCAUCCCGCCUGGGGACUACGGCCGCAAGGCUAAAACUCAAACGAAUUGACGGGGGCCCGCACAAGCAGCGGAGCGUGUGGUUUAAUUCGAUGCUACACGAAGAACCUUACCUGGGUUUGACAUGCACGUGGUAGGGAACCGAAAGGGGACCGACCUUCGGGAGCGUGCACAGGUGCUGCAUGGCUGUCGUCAGCUCGUGCCGUGAGGUGUCGGGUUAAGUCCCGUAACGAGCGCAACCCUUGCCCUUAGUUACAAGUGUCUAAGGGGACUGCCCGGGACAACUGGGAGGAAGGUGGGGAUGACGUCAAGUCAGCAUGGCCUUUAUAUCCAGGGCUACACACACGCUACAAUGGCCGGUACAAUAGGUUGCGAAGUCGUGAGGCGGAGCCAAUCCUCAAAGCCGGUCUCAGUUCGAAUUGCAGUCUGCAACUCGACUGCAUGAAGCUGGAGUUGCUAGUAAUCGCAGGUCAGCUAUACUGCG